UUCUUCUCUUUAAAAUCUCCAAAAACAAACAGCUGUCGUUACCACAACUGAAGAACUAGUUAAAGCUGUUCCUCACAGCUCCUCAGUUGGAAACUGAUGAAACAAAACACAAUGUUUGUUCAAUCCCUAAUCUUCAAUCUUCAUCUUCAUAAAAAGACAAACAUCUCUCCAUCAAGCUUUCGAGUUAAUUCAGCCAUGGCUUCGCACUUUUCAUGACAGUUCAACAUUUCCAGCUCCCAUCCCAUACCCCAUUUCCAUUCUAGAUGACACUUCUAAAACCAUCAGAAUGAAAAUUCCAAUGACGUUUGUGAUGAAACAUGGAGAGCAUUUAUCAACUCCAGUACAUCUUAAGCUUCCAAGCGGUGUAGAAUGGGAAAUAGAAUUCAGAAGAUGCAAUAAUGAUGGGGUUUGGUUUAAGACAAGGGUUCGACAGAGUUCUCCAAGUUUUGCACACUUGGCUAAGCUAAUUGGCUAGUCUUUGGAUAUGAAGGGAACUCAAAAUUCCAUGUUUUUAUAUUUGAUAGAAGCGCUACAGAGGUAGAAUAACAAAGCCCGAGAUAGAAGAAACUGAUUAUGAAGAAGAAGAUGAUGAUAACUCUGUUAAAAUCUUGGAUGGUUUUCGACCCUGCCCAAGAAAAGCAAGGGAGAAAUCUCCAUUGCCAUGUCCUCAGCCGCACAAGAAAAUGAGAAUAUGUGUAAAGCAGAAUAUGCAACAUCAACUUUAGACCAAUAAGGACUCAAACUUCUGGAAUGGUGUUUGAGAACUCACUGAGAAACCAGGCCUCCGAUUGCUCCAAAUCAGAAAUUAAAAGGGAAGAUGAAUCAGAUGAUGAUUGUGUUGAAACUUUGGCCAAGUUUCCCCCCCUGCCCAAAAUCCGGGGACAAAUCUCCAUUAGCACCACCAGAUGUCAAAGAUGGUGUUGGGAGGAUGCAUGCAUCAACUACACAAGUGGAAAAGCUAUAGCUCUUUAAAGAGCUAUUGCUUUUGAAUCUGCAAGCCCUUCUUUCACUGUCGUAAUGCAUCCAUCGUACCUCCAGAAAGGUCUUUUGGUAAGCUUUCUAUAAAAAUAUUUCAACCAUUUUGA